AAUAACCUGCCCUCAAUUUCGAGAAUAACCCAGGGAAACCUGGGCUAAUACCGGAUACGUAAACCUGUGGCAUCACAUGGUUUUGGAAAGUUUUUCGAUUGAGGAUGGAUUCGCGGCCUAUCAGCUUGUUGGUGAGGUAAUGGCUCACCAAGGCGACGACGGGUAGCCGGCCUGAGGGGGUGGACGGCCACACUGGGACUGAGACACGGCCCAGACUCCUACGGGAGGCAGCAGUGGGGAAUAUUGCGCAAUGGACGAAAGUCUGACGCAGCGACGCCUCGUGAGGGACGAAGGUCUUCGGACUGUAAACCUCUUUCAGCAGGGACGAAGCGAAAGUGACGGUACCUGCAGAAGAAGCACCGGCUAACUAUGUGCCAGCAGCCGCGGUAAUACAUAGGGUGCAAGCGUUGUCCGGAUUUAUUGGGCGUAAAGAGUUCGUAGGCGGUUUUUCGCGUCGGAUGUGAAAACUCAGGGCUCAACCCUGAGCCUGCAUUCGAUACGGGAAGACUCGAGGACGGCAGGGGAGACUGGAACUUCUGGUGUAGCGGUGGAAUGCGCAGAUAUCAGAAAGAACACCAAUGGCGAAGGCAGGUCUC
rnacentral:rRNA from 1 species